CAGAGGAGGCGAGGGCAGCACAGUAGCGGCCCCUGAAGACAUCCACCUAGACCCUGGAACCCGUGAAUGGAUGCCACCUGGAGAGGCGGUUAAGCCGUGGUACUCUUCGUCUCUGAGAGAUUCUGAGGCCUGCAGCAAAAAGCAAGAAAAGCUUUCUAACUCCAAUUCAGCACUUCCAAAGAUAUCACAUACCAUAAACCUGCUUCCCCCAGUCUCCUCCCUAUGGAACAUCUGCUAACAGAUCACAAAGUUUGUGUUUGGUGGACGGGCUGAUCUAAUCCAAUCGAUUCAUGAGACAAAUGGAGAAAUCGAAGCCCAAAGAGGUGGAGGGGCACUGGAGAAGCAGUGUGGCUCAGAGCGGAGAACGUGGGCUUCGGAGUCAAAGAGCCGGGGCUGUGCAGCUGGGCUCUGCUGGAGCCAGUCACAUGGCCCUGGGGACGUCAUGCCACCUCUCAGGGCCUCUGAUUCCUGAUGAGUAAAAUGGGCCACAAGGCAUGUGGGAUCUGAGCUCCCUGACCAGGGAUUGAACCCAUACCCUCUGCAUUGGAAGGCGAAGUCCCAACCACUGGAUCCCAGUGAAGUCCGUUUUGAAAUUUAAAAACACAAGAUCUAGGGUGGGUGUCCGCAGCCUCCGGGCCGAGGACCGUACCUCCUGUCAGAUCAGUAGUGGCAUUAGAUUUAGAAAUAAAGUGAACAAUAAAUAAAAUG